rnacentral:rRNA from 1 species
AGUGAACGCUGGCGGUAGGCCUAACACAUGCAAGUCGAACGGCAGCACAGUAAGAGCUUGCUCUUACGGGUGGCGAGUGGCGGACGGGUGAGGAAUACAUCGGAAUCUACUUUUUCGUGGGGGAUAACGUAGGGAAACUUACGCUAAUACCGCAUACGACCUACGGGUGAAAGCAGGGGAUCUUCGGACCUUGCGCGAUUGAAUGAGCCGAUGUCGGAUUAGCUGGUUGGCGGGGUAAAGGCCCACCAAGGCGACGAUCCGUAGCUGGUCUGAGAGGAUGAACAGCCACACUGGAACUGAGACACGUUCCAGACUCCUACGGGAGGCAGCAGUGGGGAAUAUUGGACAAUGGGCGCAAGCCUGAUCCAGCCAUACCGCGUGGGUGAAGAAGGCCUUCGGGUUGUAAAGCCCUUUUGUUGGGAAAGAAAAGCAGCAGGUUAAGACCCCGCUGUUCUGACGGUACCCAAAGAAUAAGCACCGGCUAACUUCGUG